rnacentral:rRNA from 1 species
CAGCAGCCGCGGGAAUACAGAGGGUGCGAGCGUUAAUCGGAUUUACUGGGCGUAAAGCGUGCGUAGGCGGCUUUUUAAGUCGGAUGUGAAAUCCCUGAGCUUAACUUAGGAAUUGCAUUCGAUACUGGGAAGCUAGAGUAUGGGAGAGGAUGGUAGAAUUCCAGGUGUAGCGGUGAAAUGCGUAGAGAUCUGGAGGAAUACCGAUGGCGAAGGCAGCCAUCUGGCCUAAUACUGACGCUGAGGUACGAAAGCAUGGGGAGCAAACAGGAUUAGAUACCCGUGUAGUCCCUGUCUCUUAUAA